rnacentral:rRNA from 1 species
UGGGGAAUUUUGCACAAUGGGCGCAAGCCUGAUGCAGCGACGCCGCGUGAGGGAUGAAGGCCUUCGGGUUGUAAACCUUUUUCGCUCAUGGUCAAGCCGCAGCUUUGGGUUGUGGUGAGGGUAGUGGGUAAAGAAGCGCCGGCUAACUACGUGCCAGCAGCCGCGGUAAUACGUAGGGCGCGAGCGUUGUCCGGAAUUAUUGGGCGUAAAGGGCUUGUAGGCGGUUGGCCGCGUCUGCCGUGAAAUCCUCUGGCUUAACUGGGGGCGUGCGGUGGGUACGGGUUGACUUGAGUGCGGUAGGGGAGCCUGGAAUUCCUGGUGUAGCGGUGGAAUGCGCAGAUAUCAGGAGGAACACCGGUGGCGAAGGCGGGUCUCUGGGCCGUUACUGACGCUGAGGAGCGAAAGCGUGGGGAGCGAACAGG